UUCAAUUUCUUUCAAUUUAGUUGCAUUAAAAUUACCCUCUGUCAUUGGGAACAGUUAUGCCAGGUUUAUAUGCUAAGAAGAGAAGCCAGCUUCAAAUGACAAUUUCCUACCACAAGAACAUUUCUAAACAUGGGAACUGGUUUUGGCACUGACACAAGGAAAAGUUUAUAUGUUCUAAAGUGAAAGUUAAAAAGACCUUCUUGUUGCUGGACGUGCAAGAAGCAAUCAAAAGGAAAUCAUGUUGGACCCAUAGGAUGUUUCCUAAGAAAAUACAACCACACAGAAACAUCUUAUUGUGCUAUUUUGGAAAA